ensembl:lncRNA
UCCACCAUCAUCACCUGUAUUUAAAAGCUGAGAAAUGUGAAUUCCACAAAUCCACCAUCCACUUCCUUGGCUUCAUCGUCACCCCUGCAGGAAUACAAAUGGACCAGAGGAAGGUGGAUGCUGUUCAGAACUGGCCACAACCCACAAUGGUCAAAGAGAUGCAGAUGUUCCUGGGGUUUGCAAAUUUCUAUCGCCGCUUUAUCGCCCACUACAGCCAGAAAGUGGCACCACUUUCCUCCAACGGAAAGCCAAAACCCUCACCUGGACCCCAGAGGCACACCAGGCCUUCCUCCAGCUCAAAUCCACCGCUGUAAGGCCCCGGCUCUUUCACACCCGGACCCCAAUCUCCGCUAUGUGGUUGAGGAGGAUGCGGCAACCCUGGGAGUGGGUGCCGUUCUGUCCCAUUGGAAGGGUGUACUCCCAGUACUCCAUCCAUGUGCGUACUUCUCAUGGAAACUAUCCCCGGCGGAGCAGAACUACAACAUGGGGAAUCAGGAGUUCUUGGCCAUCAAGCUUACCCUGGCAUUGGUUAGAGGGUGCCCAACAUCCAUUGAGGUGAUCAUAGACCACAAAAACUUGCAGUACCUCAGAGAAGCCAAGCAUCUUAACCCUAGGCAGGCCCGCUUGGCUCUAUUCUUUACCUGCUUCCACUUUGUGGUCACUUACUAUCUGGGAAGAACGUCAAAGCGGACGCACUCUACCGCCUACACCAGCCUGAUCCAACCCCAGAGGAACCAGAGUCUAUCCUACCACCUUCAGUCUUCAUGUCUCCCAUCCAGUGGGCACUCGACGACCAAAUCCAUGCCGCCACUCUCACGGAACCUGCUCCACCGGGAGGUCCAAAAGGGAAAAGUUACAUCCCAUCCACCCUGCAUCAUGCCCUUCUGGACUCCGUCCACACCUCUCCGGGAUCCGGGCACCCAGGCAGCCAUGAACAUCAGGACAGUUGGAACCAGUUUCUACCAUGGGCAGAGUACGCCCAGAAUUCCCUGCGCCAGGAAACCACCAGACUCACUUCGUUUCAAUGUGUCCUUGGAUACCAGCUGCCACUGUUUCCAUGGACCGAGGAGGGUUCAGAAGUCCCAGCGGUAGAUUACUAGUUCUGUGAGAGCGAUAGGGUAUGGGACUCAGCUCAUGUCCAUCUCCAGCGGGCAGUCCAGAGACACAAGGUCAAUGCAGAUGCUCGUCGCUCUGCCAAUCCCGUCUAUCAACCCGGCGACUGGAUCUGGUUAUCCACCCAGGACAUUCACGUCCCCAGUACAUAGGUCCUUUUCCCAUAGCACGAUGCAUCAACAAAGUCACUGACAAGUUAUACCUGACUGACCAGUACCGGAUCUCACCCACCUUCCACGUUUCCUUGCUAAAACCAUUCACUAAUCCUCUUCUCCCUCCCUCCACAGAGCACAAGGUACCCCUUCCUCCACCUGAGGUCAUCUCCAACGAAACCGUUUACAGAGUCAAAGAGAUCCUCGAC